rnacentral:rRNA from 1 species
CCUACGGGGGGCUGCAGUGGGGAAUAUUUGACAAUGGGGGCAACCCUGAUCCAGCCAUGCCGCGUGUGUGAAGAAGGCCCUCGGGUUGUAAAGCACUUUCAGUGAGGAAGAACGCCUGGUGGUUAAUACCCAUCAGGAAAGACAUCACUCACAGAAGAAGCACCGGCUAACUCCGUGCCAGCAGCCGCGGUAAUACGGAGGGUGCGAGCGUUAAUCGGAAUUACUGGGCGUAAAGCGCGCGUAGGUGGCUUGAUAAGCCGGUUGUGAAAGCCCCGGGCUCAACCUGGGAACGGCAUCCGGAACUGUCAAGCUAGAGUGCAGGAGAGGAAGGUAGAAUUCCCGGUGUAGCGGUGAAAUGCGUAGAGAUCGGGAGGAAUACCAGUGGCGAAGGCGGCCUUCUGGACUGACACUGACACUGAGGUGCGAAAGCGUGGGUAGCAAACAGGAUUAGAUACCCUGGUAGUC